rnacentral:lncRNA from 1 species
GAAGAAGAAGAAGAAGAAGAAGAAAAUGCAAAGAACAAAUAUACAAGUUACAUUUCAAUAUAACAACUAUAUAUUGUAUUCGAAUCAGUUGAAUACAUUUGAUUCCUACACCUCAACUAGCUACUUCAACAUGGUCGAAUGCUAGCUUUCAACAUAAUAUCAAAUUACAACUUCUAACAAUAAUAAAUAUUUUAAAACAAUUUAGUAAAUUACAUAUUAUAUACCUAUUAAUUAAUUAGCAUAGAAAGAAGAGAGAAGUGUGUGAUAAAGAUGGAAA